AGUUUAGAGCUUGGUAAGCAUUUUAUUUACAUUAAAAAGAGACCGUGUUAAUCGGAGUAUUCUGA
rnacentral:tRNA from 1 species